CCCAAUGCAGGUGGGUGGCCUCGUUAGGUUCUGCCGAGGGAUUAGUUACGCUGCCAAGCGCUCCCUUUGGAGUGGUAGCGGAUAGAUAACCCCGUUCCUAAAAAAAAAUUCAUUAUCGAUAUGCGUGUAGCAAACACAUUAAAGAUGACAGCCAUGCUCUCUGAUAAGUAUAUUUGUUUUCUUCUUGAUUUUGAUAUUCUCCAGGUGAUCAUGCUGUGCAUGAGAGGCAUCGAGAACUAGACCUUUUAAGAGCAAGAUUGCUUGAGAUGCCCCACCUCCCAUUUACAACUGCUAUAUUGCUCUGAAAAUGCUUGGUAUCUGCAUUUUUUUCACAGUAAGAAACACUGGUCUCACAGAGGUUGGCAGAUAUGGAAGUUCAAUUCAUCAUAGAAUUUUUUAAUAUACUCCUCAAGACUUUCUGCUAUUAAACAAGCAAUAAACCGAUGAGAAACCGGAUUUUAUGAGGUUGGUGAGAAGAAUAAUGGGCUGGAGAAUGGAUAUCAGUUUCCCAGCACUCUUCUUGAUGCGUACAUUUUUAUGAUUACCCAGCUUUGGAAGGUAAAUAUUACUUAAACCUUCCUUUGAAGUUCUGCAUUUAUGUUUUAAAUGUUGUUGGUACAGAAGAAUUCUUGAAUUUAUUACUGUUAUUCUAUCGUUCUGCUGUCACUUAUGUUAGUAAUGAUAGCAUAAAUUUUUGGUCUGCUAUUAAUGUUGGAAUGACAUUUUGUCA